AUUUCACUAGGAAUGCCAUGGAGGUGUAAAUUUGGUGAAGAUGGUAGCGCCCUGCAGCUAAUCAACAGUGGGGGCUAUUUAUCAUUGACAAUUUAUUCGGAACUCUCCAUAAUCUAUGCAGGGGCCUAAUGUCUUAUCCUUUUGGUCAACAAAACAAAAGCCAGGACCCAGAUAAAAGGAUGAUGCAUGAAUUACACCUGCGGCCAGAGACUCUUUAAUGUGUUUUUCCAUGGCCUCACCAGGCUGGGGGCAUUGGGAGCAUGACAAAACACGGUACUAUAAGGACUUUUUAUAGGAAGCCAAUGAAAAGAAGCUGAAAUGGAAGAAAUCUUAUUUGCCAGUCCCUGUUGGUACCCGCAAUGAAGUAUUUUCGACUGCAGUUUUUGAAACAUCCUGAUAGUCAGGGAAUAGUAAUAGGUGUAGAAGUAAUGAAUGCAUGGACUAGUUUUUAGCAUCUCUAUGAGACUAGAUGUUCUUUAUUUAUUUAUCUUUAAGUGAGUUAGCGAAAAUAACCCUGAAGUUGAAAUAAGGGUCUAAUUCCAUCCCAGGUAUAUGACAAGAAAUCACGAGAAUGUUAUUAUUAGUUAGUUAGCUGGUACUAUUCAUGUCAGGUCCGACGGUGCCCCGACCGGCGACCUGUGUGUAUGUGUGUGUUUGUUCUCUCGCUCUGUUUUUGUCUCCGGCUCCGCUGCAGUUGUUACGCGGUUGCGUAGCAACGGGAGAUCUCCGACCCGGAAGUGCUGCCACUCUGCGCUGUCCCACCUGCGACUGAUUCCUCGCCAGCUGCUGCCAAUCUUCCACCAUCGUUGGCAGAGCUAUUUAAUGGUGUGGCUGAGUGACAGACAGCGCUGGAGUAUUCCACCAAGCCUGGAAACGAGCGAGACGGAAAGACGAGAGGAGAGACGUCACUAUUCACGAGAGUUGUGUGGACACAUGAGGGGAGCACUGAAGGGACUUUGCACUGUGGAUAACUGUGGAUUGGCUUCACUGUAAAUAAAGACACUGUUCAACUUUAACGAGAGGUCCGCGUCUGGGUUCUCUUACUCACCACCCCGUAACAAUUCAUGAGGAUAUGGAGAGCAACCCUAGCUGGGAGAGCUGUUCCAGACCAGGUACCCUAUUUGAGGUCUCUUUCCAGAAGAGUGUUGUUUCAACAGCUAAGAUACUACACAAUAACCAUCAAACUCACAGGCCUCAGAUAAAGAACCACAGCUUUAAGAAGUAACACAUACCACCCUGGCAGGAGGUGAGAGGGAGUGCCACUGUCUCAGACAAAAAAUGAGGGUGAGGGGAGCAACAUGCAGACACAUCGGUGUGUGGAUAUGCCCAGGCCUAUUGAACACACGCUACUUACCAUCUCAGAGUCGACAGCUGAUUCAUGAACAAGCUUCAACACAGACUGCAGCCCUAUUCCUGAGCCCAGAUCAGAGGAUUAUCCACCUGGAGCAGUUGGCUGUCACUCUGGCUACACAACAAGGCCAAGCAGAAACCCGGGGGAAUGCCGUGUCACAACAUCUGUGUACAACGUACAGUAGCAGGCUGAGCAAGGACAGGACCCAUCAAUAUUAGUCUGUCAUCUUAUCUGAUAGAGACAAGCUCAGUGCUGAAUCACCAAACUCAGAGAGGGUUCUGUGUUUCGCAAUUCACUUCACUCUCCUCUAUGAAUAUGAAUGGGCUUCAUGUGCCCCAACUUCUUAAACUUUUUCCCUACAUUGCAGUAUGGAAAAUGUAUUCCGGAUGCAGCAAACAAAUAAUAAAAAAAAUGCCCUAGGAAGCAAUAUGAUGCAACAGUGUAAAACCAUACGAGUUACUAUAACUAUACUUAAGUUAUAUUAGAAUUAGAUUUAGAUCUAUUAUAUUGGAUCACAAAGCAAUGAAUGACUAUUAAAUGCCAUGGUGUCAUAAAGCUUUUUACCAGCCUACAGUGAAGCUUAAGAAAAUUUCUAAGAAAGUCUUAAUCUUGAUACACAAUCACUCUUAGUAUGUGGAUAAAAAACAAGCUAGAAGGUAUGAUUGAUGCAGUUUAACCUAAAAUACUAUAGAAGUGUAAUAGGCUUUAUUUUUCUGCAUGUUCCCCAAUGCAUGCUUCCUAAUUAAGCUUUCUGUCCUCAGCUUCUCGCCCCUAAGUGAAGUCAUGUGUCUGCCUUAACAGGGUGAUAGAGGAGAUGCCCUGAUCACCCAACUCUGUCAACUCAGGUCCAUCACCAACAGCCCUUUUAUUUAUAUUCUUUCUCGUUAAGCACUAUUAAUUGUCCGACCAUGUGCCAGGGGGCAUUGUUUAUUAAUUCCCACCCUGUACCCGUUAGGUUCCAUCUAGAGUCUUUAGACAAAUGGCCCCCCAUUAGACAGCUCGGUCUUCUAAUGAGACAGUCACACAUGUGGGGCUUCCAUUACAAACAACUCAGGGAUAUCACAUACAUUGUUUCCAUUCUUCAUCCUCAUAGCUUGGAGUUACUGUAGUACUGUACUAGAAUGAUUUCAGUUUGCAAUACAUACAAUUUAUAUAGAUACUUCAUAUAUGGAACAUGCAGCUGAACUAAGAUUUAAGGGUGUGUUGUCUGCAGUUGAGAUGGCAUCCUAUAUAAACUACUAGUAAUAUUAUUAUUAAAAUAUAAUGUCUGACUGAAGCACAGAUCCAGAGUGCUUAAAAUCAAAGGUCAGAGGUUUAUUUACAAACACCAGGUGAAAUAUAUACAAAGUGUGGGGUCGGGGUUUCCAGGGAUCCACGGGAAGGAGAGGAAGAGUCCUCACACGCAGUGACGAUCACACACGCCACGCUCCUCUUCUGUAUCACACACCACACUCCUCUUGAGUCUCUCAUGCCACACUCCUCUUCUGCCACAUAUGCUCACAGUCUUUCUCACACCAUGUCAGACUGCCAAACUGAGGAAUCCAGGAUGGGAAAAACAAGGACAGGACCAAGGUAUCUACAUACAAUAAGUAUGUAGGUCAGAAACAAGCUAGAGAUUUCACAGAGACUAGACACUAGGAUUUCCCGGGGUUACACUAACGCAGGUUGCACAACGAUCCAGCAAUGAGAAGCACUCAGCCACUACCUUGAGUAGUGGCCAGGAAAACCAGGUUAACAAGCGGCAGGUGGUGAAUCAGACCAGGUGCUUGGGCCAAUGACAUAUAAUAUAUAAAUCAUAUAAAUUUUAUAUAAAUGGUAAUUGGAUUGGUUCUCAUAUUUCUACUCUAUCAGAGCACUCUAAGCGUGUUUUACACAACUUGCCUCAUUUACCCAUUCACAAAAGCACUUUUGUUUUCUAAGCUCUUUCUAUGUAAGUGCUUUCUAUCUAACAUUCACACGCAUUCAUACUCCGAUCGAUGUAUCGGAGAGUAACUUGGGGUUACUGUCUUACCCAAACACUAAUUUAAAAGUAAAACAUAGAUGUUCUCUUACAAUCUGAGGAUAUAGCUACCAACUUCAUAAUUCAAAUUCCUAUGAAAUAAUGGCAUAUGAGCUAUUUAGUGACUCUGGAAAGCCACUGAUGCAUUAUCAAGUAUUUGCAAAAGUUUGGACAACCAGCUCAAAAUUCUGUUUAGUUGUUUCUUUUAUUUAACAAAAGAGCAAAGAAAAAGUGACUUCAUAGUGUGGUGGUUUACACAUUUGACUGACAAGUUAAAGAUCUGCAGUUCAAUCCUAUUUUAUUUUCUUGAGUGCACAAUAUUUUAUCCAGAAUCUGGUUGAUAAUAGUUAUUGGAACUCAUUCUUCCCUUUAUUGUUGCAAAGUUCCACUGACUGCCACA